rnacentral:rRNA from 1 species
AGUUUAGUCCUGGCUCAGAACGAACGCUGGCGGCAGGCCUAACACAUGCAAGUCGAGCGCGCCUUUCGGGGCGAGCGGCGGACGGGUUAGUAACGCGUGGGAAUAUGCCCAAAGGUACGGAAUAGCCUCUGGAAACGGAGAGUAAUACCGUAUGUGCCCUUCGGGGGAAAGAUUUAUCGGAAUUGGAUUAGCCCGCGUUAGAUUAGAUAGUUGGUGGGGUAAUGGCCUACCAAGUCGACGAUCUAUAGCUGGUUUGAGAGGAUGAUCAGCAACACUGGGACUGAGACACGGCCCAGACUCCUACGGGAGGCAGCAGUGGGGAAUCUUAGACAAUGGGCGCAAGCCUGAUCUAGCCAUGCCGCGUGAGUGAUGAAGGCCUUAGGGUCGUAAAGCUCUUUCGCCAGGGAUGAUAAUGACAGUACCUGGUAAAGAAACCCCGGCUAACUACGUGCCAGCAGCCGCGGUAAUACGUAGGGGGCUAGCGUUGUCCGGAAUUACUGGGCG